GCAGUCGCCGCGGGAAUACGUAGGGUGCAAGCGUUAAUCGGAAUUACUGGGCGUAAAGCGUGCGCAGGCGGUUAUAUAAGACAGAUGUGAAAUCCCCGGGCUCAACCUGGGAACUGCAUUUGUGACUGUAUAGCUAGAGUACGGCAGAGGGGGAUGGAAUUCCGCGUGUAGCAGUGAAAUGCGUAGAUAUGCGGAGGAACACCGAUGGCGAAGGCAAUCCCCUGGGCCUGUACUGACGCUCAUGCACGAAAGCGUGGGGAGCAAACAGGAUUAGAUACCCCCGUAGUCCCUGUCUCUUAUAC
rnacentral:rRNA from 1 species